rnacentral:misc_RNA from 1 species
AAGUUCUCAACCGCGCAUCUUGUUGCGGCUUGGAAAUGGAGGUUUAUGCAGGCAUCAAGUCUGCUCCUCUGAAACAAAUUAGUGGUGUCUUUUUACCCACUAGGUGUGAUAAAACUAUCUAUGCCUAUGCUGAACAAAAAGAACAUUGCUGCAAACCCCUGUUUUUGAUGA